AGCCGUCGCGGCAGAGUGAGCCGCUGAAUGUGCGUAUAAUAGCUCACGAAAAGGUAACCUUGGUCACAGAGCAUCAAGGUCUAGAGGCGAACAGAGCAAAGCGCUAUUUGCAAAAUAUUCGAAACUUCUGCAUUAACGUGUUCCACAAGAAGAAACAGUAAGUUUGCCGAGGCAAAGGAAAUACCUGACGAAAAUCACGACACGGUCUCUGAAGUAAAUUUUGUUGUAAAACCAAAUUGCACAAACCAAUCAAAAUGAGUUGGGGCAGUAGCUGGGGGAACAAUGGCUGGUCUAAUAGUAUUUCUGGGGGCAGCAACAAUAACCCGGACCCCGAGGGGCAGCACAGCCCUUCCUGUAUCGCCGGAAGUAGUGGCUGGGGCCGCAACGGUUGGGGUAGCAGCUAUUACGACGAGAGCUGUUCCGGAUGUCGCCACGAUAGGUCUGCUGGCUCGUUCGGGAGCAACAACAAGGCGAAAGGUGUGUUUAAGUUACUGGCAGUCGUCGGCGGUGUAAAACUGGCCAAGAAAAGUCUCUGGGACUAGCUGCUGCUCUCGUGUCGCUGACGCGAGCUAUUAGGCCGGGACACUUGACAUUACCAUAUGGAUUCAAUAUAACGAGGAUAAUUAAAUCAUAAUGUGAUACAAUUGAUUUUUAGAAACAACGAAACAUUGUGUCAAUGGAUAUGUGCAAUAAUUAACUUGUGCAAAAUGGUUACGGAUAUGUUAUGUAUAUAUCAUUGUGUAUCUUAAGUAGUCAGUAGGUUCAUCAUUUCUUUAUAUAGAAUCGGACAUAUAGUCUUAUAGCUGUUGCAUAAUUGAUUAAAAAGCUAAUUGAUUUGUAAUUUGUUGUUAUAUUUACAAUUAAACAGAUACAGAGUGA